rnacentral:rRNA from 1 species
UACGUAGGGGGCAAGCGUUGUCCGGAAUCAUUGGGCGUAAAGAGCGUGUAGGCGGCUCGGUAAGUCCGCUGUGAAAGUCCAGGGCUCAACCCUGGAAUGCCGGAGGAAACUGUCGAGCUAGAGUCCGGAAGAGGCGAGUGGAAUUCCUGGUGUAGCGGUGAAAUGCGCAGAUAUCAGGAGGAACACCAAUGGCGAAGGCAGCUCGCUGGGACGGUACUGACGCUGAGACGCGAAAGCGUGGGGAGCAAACAGG